AUUUCAUUUGAUUGUUGAGGAACAAAAGUUGGUUAUAUAAGUGAGAACUUUUUGCUUUUUGGGUUUCAAUUGAAUAAAAACAAAAAGUUGUCGUCGAUCUGUGAAAUUCAAUUUAUAUCUAUAGAGAGCAUUUCUUCUAUUUAUUGGGCCAGUUCUUAGUGGCCCAAUAACAAAAAGCCCAAUAACCCUAUUGGAGAACUGUAUUACUCUACAGUCAUGAGAAACACCGCUCAAUUCAUCACCGGAAUUAACAAAAAGAGUUUGAAAUUCAGAAUUGUCAUCUUUUGUUUCGAUCGGAUUCCUUAUUCGUGUAUCUUCUCCGAUUCGAUGGGAAUUGGCUCUCAUGGCAAU